rnacentral:lncRNA from 1 species
UAAAUUUAUUUCAUAAAUUAUAGCAUGGAAAAAUUAAGUUAUUGUUAUUUUAGCAUAUAAACAAUUUUUUUUUUUUGCAUGAAUGGGUUUUUUUCACAUCUUUAGUUUUUACAGAUUAUAUAUUAAUGUAGGUGAAGACAGACAAAAAAAUUGCAAAGUAAAAAAUAUCAGGGAAAAAAAAAAAAAAAAAGUGGAGAAAAUGACAAAAUUCUUUGAAGCUGAUAUAUUUCCUAUCAUCAAUAUUGUAUAUAUUAAGAUAAAUUAAAUAAAACCAACUAUACAGCGGUUUGAAUGGAAGAAAUGUUAAUCACUGAAUUCUCCAUUAUAUAUUAUUACAUCAUUAGACAUGAUGGAUUAUUCAUAUUGGAAAAUACUUAUAGAUUGACGAACAAGCAUUAGCAUAAUAUAUUGAGAAAUAUAAGGUACCUAAAAUUUUUGAGGGUUUUAAAGCUUCCCAUAGAGUUAGCCCAAUCAUACGUAUCGAAAUUAACCCAAUGCAUAAUUACAUACGUCUCGAAUAAAUAUUUGUUGUUUUUUCAUUAAUUUCAGUAUAUAUUAUAUGAGUGAUAGGUCAUUUAAAAGAAUCUUGCCAUUUUUUUCACUAAUAUUUUUCUCUUGCCAUUUUUUCCUCUAACAUUUCUUCUUAAAUAAAGAUAAACUGAAUAGUUUUGUUAAUUUAAGCUGAAAUAAUUAACUUCAAUGAAAAAAAUUUGUGAAAAUUUAAUACAUAUGCCCCCCCCCCUUUAAAUGUACAAAAUUUUAAAAAACUGGAAUGUUUGGCGCACACAUUAUGUUAUAUAAGUAGUUUUAUAUUUAUUCCUUUGUCUUUUUAUUUAAAAAUUAUCCAAUAUUUCAAUACUUAACUCUCCUGUAAUUUAAAAAUAGUUUUAAUUUUUACAUGAAUCCGAUUAUCAUUUUUUUCAACCAGAUGAUUAACUGAUUUGUAUGUCAGUUUUAAACUUCUGACUUUUCUGGUGUCUUUGGAAACCUGCUUUAAAAAACUGCUUUUAUUUUUUUGUUCACACGCUCUUUUUGUCUCCUCCUUAUUUAUCAUAUACUUCUGAUUUAUAUUUAUAUCUAAUUAUAUCCAGUUCAACCUCAAAUAUUAUAGGACUUACUCUUAGUUAAUUAUAAUUAUCGAUUACACUAACUCUCUUGUAAUUGUGAUUACAAAAUUUCAACAUAUUAAGAGCUUAAUGAAAAUUCACGAUGAAGUUAGUUUUAAGAUUCGAGGAUUAGAGGGAAUAAGAGCAAUUCAAUCCCCAGUUGAAAUUACUGUAAAGAAUGGCACCGAAAUAAAUAUGACUAUACUAAUGGAAAUAUUGAGUAAAUUUUGUGGGUGAUAUAGAAAACAUAAGCCACAGGAUGGUGGCAGUCGAAAACAAUAAAAAGGAAUCUUUUAGCUAUCUAUCGUUUCUGUUGGAGGGAAAGAAGUGGAAUUAAUUUAUAAGAGUCAGCUAUGCAGUCCAAUGCUUCUAAUGUCUAAGGUUUGCUCACAUCAAGGCUAAAUCUACUGUUCUGAAGAGAACACCCUAUUUGGAGAUCGAAAAAAACUUCAGAAAUAAACAGGGACUACCUAUCAGAAUAAGAGGACAUGCUGAGAUGGGGGAGAUGAAUGAGAUUAUCAAUGAGGAAGAGGAUGAAGAGUGUGAAAUUAUUGAAGAGAAAAAAAAGAAGCUCAUCAAACUGAGGAUCUAGAUGAUCUACCUAAAAUAAGUUCGAAUGAAGUGAAUGCAAACGUGAUUUGAUCAAGAGAUAGUAACCUAGACCCCAUCCCUGAAAAGGCUGAUCAACUCAUAAUUGAUAACCAAGGAGACAAUAAGCAUAUAGUCAAUAUUAAGAGGGAUAUAACUUCUUCUGACCAAAAACUACGAUGGGGCAAGAUGAGUGUUUGGAUUCCAAGACUAAUAAUCAAUACGAACUAAAAGAUGAUUGGAAACUUAUCCUUAACAAACAAAAAAAGAAAAAAUUACAGGAAACAGAGAACUUAACUCCAAGAUCACUAAGAUAUAAGCGACCGUUUGAGUACCCAAUACAUAAAGAAGAUAAAAUGACCAAAUGUCUGACCCAGGAACAAAUAAAUCACCUAUAAUACAUCAUAGCUGCGCUUAAUUUUAUUUUAUGGCCUCUACUCAUCUCUCUGGUCGUUACUUCUUGAAUUUCCAGUUUUCAUUCUAUUUUUUUAUAGUUGUAAACGUAAAUGUGAUAGUUUGGGUAUUGUAAUUUUUUUAAAUUGUCAUAAACUAGCUGUCUUAUCAUUAAUAUUAAAUCCUUGAAACACAAAUUCUUUAGCUAAUAAAUCUAAGCUCAAAAGAGUUGUGGAUAGUUUAUUAGAUUUGGAUACUGAUAUAUCCUUUUGCGACACAAGAAUAUACAACUGUAACUACAGUGGGAGCCUAAUUAAGAGUUACAAUAUUUUCCUUGCAGCAGCAAGCUAUAAAAAAGGUUACUAUUAGGGGAAUCUUUUAUGGUUAAGAAAUCGCUAAAGCCGAAAUCAAUACUUAAAGAUAUGGAAGGCAACUGUGAACUGGGGGAAAAGUUCAUGUAAAAAUAUUAUCCAUCUAUGGAUUUAAUAAGGACAAACUAGGAUUAUAUUAUUCAAUUUUUGCUAGGCUAAUCGAGGAGGAUGACAGGAAUUGUGAGGAUAUGAUUUUAAUGGGAAAUUUUAAUAUGGUAAUGGACCAAAGAAGAGAUACAAAUAAUUGCAUGAAUGAAAAUAAUCCUAAUGCAACAAAAAUCGUGAAAGAAUUUCUAGGUAAUCGAAGUUAAAAAGAUGCAUCCACACAAUUAAAAAAACAAACAAACAUACUUUCGAAAUUAAAAGGAGAGAUAACUUAGUUAAGAGCUCAAGGCUUGACUAUUUUUUUGUGUCUCCCUCACUAUUUCCCUACUGGAAGAUUAUAAUACAUUUGCCAAAAAUACUUUCAGAUCACAACCCCAUGAAAAUUAGGUUGUCAAAACUGUCAUUGCACUCAAAAAGUAUCUGCAAGUUGAAUAUAUAUCCUUUAGAGGAUGAAAUGAAUGACACCAAAAUCAAAGAUAUCAUAAAUUAAUUUUGUAUUCUUCAAGACGAGAAUGUAUAAAAGUUGGGGUAAGUCUCAGAAAGGAAAGGAAAUUAAUAGAAAAUUAUGUAGAUGGAGAUGGUAGUACUAUUGAAGAAGCAAAAUUCAGUAUGAAAAUGUUUAAACACUGAGGAUGUCUAAUAAGGAGAGACAAUAAGUCUCCAUAAUAAAAAUUUAAUUUUUGAGGGACUUAAGAAAAUGGAAAGUAAUCAAAUAGCCCGAAAGUAAGUAAAUUCUGUGUUUGAUGCAAAUGGAAAACUUAUAGUAAAUCCCAAGGAAAUAUCUUCUGAUGUGGUAGAACAUCUUAAAAAUAUAAACAAUUCUUUCAAUUUUAGAGGAGAAAAAAUAUGCGAGAAACAUAAUCCUCAUCGAGAUAUAAAUCAAGUGAUCAUUGCUUAAAAAACAUGCCACGGAUUCCUAAUGUUAUUAAAGAUUCUCUGGACAAAUGUAUAUCUUAGAAAGACGUAAAAAACUACAUGAUGUCAUAUAAUAAGAAGAAUAAAUCCCCGGGAUCAGAUGGUUUUCCGAUAGAAUAAUUUAAGAAAUAUUGUACUUUUUUGGCUACUCUAUAAUAAAUAGUUUAUAGAGAGGUAUUACAAGUAGGGAAAUUUGAAAGUAAUAUUACUAACGAACGAUAAAUCUUGAUACCUAAGCAAGGAAGGAUCCUAGGUGGACCGAAAAUUGGAGGCUAUCUUUUCAUAAUUGCAUUGAGCUCUCUAAUAAUAGAAAUUGAAAAUUAUUCUGUCAUCAAAGGGAUUAAAGUAGGAAACUUAGAAAAGGAAGUAGAAGUGUUUGCAGACGACCUGACUACUUUAUACUCAGGAGA